AUCGAUUGUGUCGUUUUCCGUCUCUUCACAUCUCUGUAUCUCCAGUGUUGGUCUCUGUAACGGGUGUAGUUAUCGAAUGACACUAAUCCAAAAAUUAACACCUACUGCACCUCUCUUCUCACUCUCCAAUUAAAUCGGCCAUUGUAUCUUCCAAAGUAAUUGUCUGAAGCCUACACUAUAAAUGUGUUCGUCGUUAGGGAUGAACAGAUACGCAAACCAAAUCCCAAAAGUCUCUCUCUGUCAAGCAUCAUAUCCAUCAGGCGUUCAACUCGAUUUUUUCUCCGGCGAAGUGAUCGUGGUCAUACUUGCCUUUGUGGUUUCAGCUUGAGAAGCAACAAGAGCUCAUAGGCGCUGUGGUUUCAGUUUUGGUGGAAUUAAUCUGCUGCAACAGGAAAAGUAAAGGAAUACCUUUUGUACUGAGGCUUGCUCAUACUUAAUAUUUCUGAAUGUUUUGUAUUUUAUUUAUUGGUUGAUGCUAUUGUCCAACAGGUUCACGCUAUAAGAGAAGGACGUUCGUCAAACUUGAGAGGUGGAUGGAUAAGAAGAUUUUUGAUCCUUGAUACAUGUUGGAUGCUAUACUAUAAACGCAAAACUAUUGGAGGAAGGGCUCCAUCAGUAAGAGAGAUUGUAGAGAAAGGUCUAGAGAACGCAAAAGAAAAAUGACGAUGAAAUAACAAAGAAUCACCCGCACAUUGACCAGCUAGGACACAUGGUGGAACCAAAAAAAAGCAAAACAUCGAAGGUUAAAGGAAGAGUAGAAGACCAUGCCAAGUGGAUCACGAAGAUAUUUCAUAGUGCGAUGUGUUUGCCCUUGGUGUAUUGCUUCUAGAUCAUAACCAGUUGUAGAGCUGUUGAUGCAGCAAGCAGACAGAGCUUCGUUGCAUUGGUAAUAAUAGUGUAUCUGAGACUCUAUUUAGAAUCAUCAAAAGUACUGGGUGAUAUCAUUGUUUAUCUUUAUUUAUUUGGUAAUACACAUUCAAAAGCCUUUUCUGGAUAAGAAAAGCGCAAAGGACAUUGUGAAUCCUUGGCAAGGAAAGGAGUUUGAUCAAACAGAGAUUAAACAAGUGAUGACUACAGCUUCAAUGUACAUACAUCAUAUUGCCACAAUGCGACCUGACAUGAACCGGUUGGGCAACUGUUGCAUGGAUAAGAUGGCCUAGCUGAGCUGCAGAAAAAGCCAUGUCAAGGUGGGGCGGAGAUUGUGAACGCAUGCGAUCUUCAGGAUCACACCACCACCUCAUACCCAACGAACUCAUUUACCACAGUUGGUUGCUUCUUUUAUCUCCUCAAACAGGCUGUAAAUAUCAAAACACCAAGAUGCGCCUCUAUUUUGCUCUAUUAAUCUUUGUUUAGUCUCAAUCCCGAAGUAGUUUUCUACAAAGUCCAAUAUAGUUUUAAGCGAAGCGUAAAAGCCCGGUUGACAAAGGAACUCAGCUUAAACACAUGAACCUUCGUAUCAACAAGCUCUGCUUCUUUAUGAUCCUCCACACUUUUUUUGUUUUUUUUUUCAUUUCUUUCUGUGUUCGUUCGUUUUAGGUAGAUAUAAUUUUAGUUUUGUUUUGUACCUGGUUCAGUAUAAAACAUUGUUUCAGUUAUGAGUUCUGAAGAUAUUAUCUUACGGAUAAAUUAAUGAAACUUUGUGAUCGGUGGUGUGUACCACU